AGCAGCCGCGAUAACACGUAGGUGGCAAGCGUUGUCCGGAAUUAUUGGGCGUAAAGGGCUCGCAGGCGGUUUCUUAAGUCUGAUGUGAAAGCCCCCGGCUCAACCGGGGAGGGUCAUUGGAAACUGGGAAACUUGAGUGCAGAAGAGGAGAGUGGAAUUCCACGUGUAGCGGUGAAAUGCGUAGAGAUGUGGAGGAACACCAGUGGCGAAGGCGACUCUCUGGUCUGUAACUGACGCUGAGGAGCGAAAGCGUGGGGAGCGAACAGGAUUAGAUACCCCUGUAGUCCCUGUCUCUUAUACA
rnacentral:rRNA from 1 species